rnacentral:rRNA from 1 species
CCUAUGGGCGGCUGCAGUGAGGAAUAUUGGUCAAUGGACGAGAGUCUGAACCAGCCAAGUAGCGUGAAGGAUGACGGCCCUCUGGGUUGUAAACUUCUUUUAUAUGGGGAUAAAAUGUUCCACGUGUGGGAUUUUGUAUGUACGAUAUGAAUAAGGAUAGGAUAACUCCGUGCCAGCAGCCUCGGUAAUACGGAGGGUCCGAGCGUUAUCCGGAUUUGUUGGGUUUGAAGGGAACGUAGGUGGUUUGUUAAGUCAGUUGUGAAAGUUAGCGGCUCAACCGUAAAAUUGCAUUUGAAACUGGCAGUCUUGAGUACAGUAGAGGUGGGUGGAAUUCGUGGUGUAGCGGUGAAAUGCUUAGAUAUCUCGAAGAACUCCGAUUGCGAAGGCAGUUCACUGGACUGCAACUGACACUGAGGCUCGAACGUGUGGGUAUCAAACAGGAUUAGAUACCCGAGUAGUC